AACCUCGCCAUUUCUAAUUCCCCACCACGCCACCACCGCCGUCCCCACCUUCUCCGACGAAACCCUAGCGAUGGCGUUCCGCGGCGCAGCCUCCCGCUCCUUCCUCGCCGCCGUCCGCGGUCGCACCGCUUCCACUGCCCCGCGCGUACGCGCGGCCCCCAUUCCCGCCGCCCCUCCCCGUCGCAUCCCUGCCUCGGCGCCCUCCUCCCCUCUCGCCGCCGCAAGGCCAUUGGCGGCGUUGAUGGGGUCGCCGGCGCUGGUUGCCGCAAGGCUGACGGGGCACUGCGCGUCGAGCGCGCGGGCGUGCUGUGAGCUCUCCCAGGGUACCCCCUUCUGCCGCACUUGUCAGGAUCGCUAACAAGGAAAAAUGGGAAAGAUGGUUGACGCAGAGGGCAGGCAGAUUAAUUUUGGGACCCAUUGCGUCAAAUAAUUGGUUGGGCUGUUAGGAAAUGGAGAUGAUGAAUGACGGUUGAGCGACCAAUUUAAAGCAUGGUGAAGGUGCUGAUGUUGAAGCAGUGUACUUCUGUUAUUUUGUCAAUCUUGUGUCUGUAAGAAAUGGUUAAUGCGAAUUGAAUAGCCGCGAUGAAAUAAAUGGCUGUAUAACUAGACGUGGUCAUGAAAAUUAUAGCUUUUAACUUUAUGUACUGCCUCAUGUUCUGUGUAUAUGAUGUGGGACAUCUGGGCUGUCGGCAGUAUUUGCUAGUAUGUGGAAUUCAAAAUCAUUCUGUGUUUUCACA